rnacentral:rRNA from 1 species
AUGUCCCACGACACCACCGCGCCCGGCUGUGCCCAAGCCUGCUGCAAUUGCUGCUGCAAUUGGGUCGUGACAUCCAUCAUCAUAGUCACCGUGAUGCUCAUCGCCGCCUACGCCGUCGUCCUCCCGCUCCGCAUCACCGCCGAGGACGCGUCCCUGGGCCGCCUCGCCCUCGCCGGGCCCAACGGCACCGCGCUGGCGUACAACCUCUCCCUCACCGUCGGCCUUUUCAACCCCAACUGGGCCAUGCGGGCCGAGCUCACCGCGCCGCUGGAGUCCGAGCUCAGCUUCGCGGGCGUGCGCUUCGACGGUGCCCGGCUAUCCGACGCGGGGCGGAGGGUCGAGAUCCACGAGACCACCAGGUUCUGCGUGGAGGCGGGGGCUCAAAGCGCGGAUGCGGCGCUCGGGAGCGCCGAGCUGGCGGAGCUGGUGAAGGAGACCGCGGCGGGCCUGUUCGAGUCGCUGGAGCUGAAGAUCACCGGGAGGCUCAGGUACAGGCCGGUGCACGCCGGCGGGACCAGGAGGCUGGAGGCCAGGUGCCCGCUGAAGCCGCGCUUGGCCCCGCCGCCGGGCACGCACAUGCUUGUGCUGGACAGGGUCAUCAAGUGCCACCGACUUUAG